CAGAGAUCCAUGUCCUUCCUGACUGUUCUGAAGUGCUGCAUGGUCCUGACUGUUACCAUAGUGACCAAAGCACGCUAGAUCCGAAGCUGAAGGAUGAAAGUCAGACGCUGGACCUGAAUAUUAAAGAAGAAGAUGUGGAUAAUUUUAUGUAUCUAAACUAUUCUGGACUUCUGAAAGAAGAAAAGAAAGAGGAAACGUGGGAGUGUCCUCAGCCUGGGAAAGGGGGGCCUGACUGUAACCAUAGUGACCUAAGCAAGCCAGAUCCAAAGAUGGAGUCAGUCAAGAUGGAGGAUGAAAGUCAGACGCUGGAGCUAACUGUUAAAAUCAAAGGAGAAGAAGAGGAGGAAACCUAUGGCACUGAAUGUGGCAAGACCUCUUUGUCAACAAGGAAUCCGCUCACGUCCACUGGAGAGAAUUCUUACCAUUGCUCUGACUGUGGGAAGAGUUUCAGUCAACAUUCAAACUUAAAACAGCAUCAGAGAACACACACAAGGGAGAAAUCUCAUAGCUGUUCUGACUGUGGAAAGAACUUCAGUCAUAAGGGGAGUUUGGUAUACCACCAGAGAAUACAUACAGGAGAGAAACCGUAUAGCUGCUCUGACUGUGGGAAAUUUUUCAGUCAAAAGGGAGUUUGUUAUACCA